CCUACGGGAGGCUGCAGUGGGGAAUAUUGGGCAAUGGGCGCAAGCCUGACCCAGCAACGCCGCGUGAAGGAAGAAGGCUUUCGGGUUGUAAACUUCUUUUCUCAGGGACGAAGAUAGUGACGGUACCUGAGGAAUAAGCCACGGCUAACUUCGUGCCAGCAGCCGCGGUAAUACGUAGGCGGCAAGCGUUAUGCGGAUUUAUUGGGUGGAAAGGGCGUGUAGGCGGGAGCGCAAGUCUGAUGGGAAAACUCCGGGCUCAAGCCUGGGCCUGCAUUUGAAACUGUGUUUCUUGAGUGCUGGAGAGGCAAGCGGAAUUCCGUGUGUAGCGGUGAAAUGCGUAGAUAUACGGAGGAACACCAGUGGCGAAGGCGGCUUGCUGGACAGUAACUGACGCUGAGGCGCGAAAGCGUGGGGAGCAAACAGGAUUAGAUACCCGUGUAGUC
rnacentral:rRNA from 1 species